GAUGAACGCUGGCGGCGUGCUUAACACAUGCAAGUCGAACGAAGCACCUCUCCCGAAGAUUGACACAGCUUGCCGUAGAUUGAUUCAUUUGAGGUGACUGAGUGUCGGACGGGUGAGUAACGCGUGGGUAACCUGCCUCAUAGAGGGGGACAACAGUUGGAAACGACUGCUAAUACCGCAGAGUAAGAAGAAUUCGCAUGUUUUCUUCUUGAACGAUUUAUCGCUAUGAGAUGGACCCGCGUCUGAUUAGCUAGUUGGUAAGGUAAUGGCCUACCAAGGCGACGAUCAGUAGCCGGCAUGAGAGAGUGAACGGCCACAUUGGGACUGAGACACGGCCCAGACUCCUACGGGAGGCAGCAAUGGGGAAUAUUGCACAAUGGAGGAAACCCUGAUGCAGCGACGCCGCGUGAGUUAAGAAAUAUUUCGGUAUGUAAAGCUCCAUCAGCAAGGAAGAUAAUGACGGUACCUGACUAAGAAGCCCCGGCUAACUACGUG
rnacentral:rRNA from 1 species